CAAUCGCCGCGGUAAUACAGAGGGUGCAAGCGUUAAUCGGAAUUACUGGGCGUAAAGCGCGCGUAGGUGGUUUGUUAAGUUGGAUGUGAAAUCCCCGGGCUCAACCUGGGAACUGCAUCCAAAACUGGCAAGCUAGAGUAUGGUAGAGGGUGGUGGAAUUUCCUGUGUAGCGGUGAAAUGCGUAGAUAUAGGAAGGAACACCAGUGGCGAAGGCGACCACCUGGACUGAUACUGACACUGAGGUGCGAAAGCGUGGGGAGCAAACAGGAUUAGAUACCCCGGUAGUCCCUGUCUCUUAUAC
rnacentral:rRNA from 1 species